rnacentral:rRNA from 1 species
AUACGGAGGAUGCGAGCGUUAUCCGGAUUUAUUGGGUUUAAAGGGUGCGUAGGCGGAUAGUUAAGUCAGUGGUGAAAAGCCAUCGCUCAACGAUGGUCGUGCCAUUGAUACUGGCAGUCUAGAGUUCCGUUGCCGUGGGAGGAAUGAGUAGUGUAGCGGUGAAAUGCAUAGAUAUUACUCAGAACACCGAUUGUGAAGACAUCUCACGAAGCGGCGACUGACGCUGAGGCACGAAAGCGUGGGGAUCGAACAGGAUUAGAUACCCUAGUAGUCCACGCAGUAAACGAUGUUGACUAACCGUUGGUCUUAUCAGAUCAGUGGCCAAGCGAAAGCGAUAAGUCAUCCACCUGGGGAGUACGACCGCAAGGUUGAAACUCAAAGGAAUUGACGGGG